UUUAAUAAUUCUCCUGUUAAAUACUUUGCUCUUCCCAUUUUUAGCAGUGGAAACUCUAGACUUGAGUGUGGUAGAGGUAGAGGGAAUUCCUAGUGUAGCGGUGAAAUGCGUAGAUAUUAGGGAGAACACCAAUGGCGAAGGCACUCUACUGGGCCAUAACUGACACUGAGAGACGACAGCUAGGGGAGCAAAUGGGAUUAGAUACCCCAGUAGUCCUAGCCGUAAACGAUGGAUACUAGAUGUUGCACGUAUUAACCCGUGCAGUAUCGUAGCUAUGGCGUUAAGUAUCCCGCCUGGGAAGUACGCUCGCAAGAGUGAAACUCG
rnacentral:rRNA from 1 species